GUCAGAAUCAGAUUUGUUGAGACGAGAAAUGGGUGAUUAUUGCACAUCCUACAGCCCACCGGGUUAGCUCUAGAUUUUCAGCUGUCACAGAGCUGUGACUUUUCCCACCUUGUCAAGCAGUAACCUCCUGGACAUCUUUGUAUGCUCAGAAUAGAAGAAAUAAACCUGCCACUCUGCUAGAAAACAAGGGAGGAAAGAAACUAGGCAUUGUCUCAUCUUUGGUAUUUCAGGCAAUAUAGGUUUCCGAUCUCAGUUCUAAAAGAGAAGAUGUACACGAGCAAGUCUUCAGUGCCUCUACUCCUAUAGCUUCUGUGACCUAUUUAGCUCUAAGGGAGGGCAAGUCACUGUAUGCCCAGAGAUGAAGUUGAGAGGACACAACUGAAAUGGCUGCAGCAUGUAGAAGAAGAAUCAAAAUGAAGAUCCUAAUCCAAAGAAAAAAAAGUGAGGUGUCCGCACAAGCAGCUGCUGAAAAAACACAGAUGUGAAAGUCUACAGUGGAGGUUGCAGUGUCUGUGAUGGAUCAAGGUCAUAUUCAUGGAGAUGCAACAGAUCUGAGUAAAGCCAGGAGAUUACCAAAUAGUGGUACUGAACGUCUGUAUAAUCUUGUUUUUUGAGGCAGAA
rnacentral:lncRNA from 1 species